AGAGUUUGAUCAUGGCUCAGAGUGAACGCUGGCGGCAGGCCUAACACAUGCAAGUCGAACGGCAGCACGGCAGUAGCAAUACUGUGGGUGGCGAGUGGCGGACGGGUGAGGAAUACAUGGGAAUCUGCCCUGUCGUGGGGGAUAACGUAGGGAAACUUACGCUAAUACCGCAUACGACCGGAAGGUGAAAGCGGCGGACCGCAAGGCGUCGCGCGACUGGAUGAGCCCAUGUCGGAUUAGCUAGUUGGCGGGGUAAAGGCCCACCAAGGCGACGAUCCGUAGCUGGUCUGAGAGGAUGAUCAGCCACACUGGAACUGAGACACGGUCCAGACUCCUGCGGGAGGCAGCAGUGGGGAAUAUUGGACAAUGGGCGCAAGCCUGAUCCAGCCAUGCCGCGUGAGUGAAGAAGGCCUUCGGGUUGUAAAGCUCUUUUGUCCGGAAAGAAAAGCCUUCGGUUAAUACCCGGGGGUGAUGACGGUACCGGAAGAAUAAGCACCGGCUAACUUCGUGCCAGCAGCCGCGGUAAUACGAAGGGUGCAAGCGUUACUCGGAAUUACUGGGCGUAAAGCGUGCGUAGGUGGUUCGUUAAGUCUGAUGUGGAAGCCCUGGGCUCAACCUGGGAAUGGCAUUGGAAACUGGCGACCUAGAGUGCGGUAGAGGGUAGUGGAAUUCCCGGUGUAGCAGUGAAAUGCGUAGAGAUCGGGAGGAACAUCCGUGGCGAAGGCGACUACCUGGACCAGCACUGACACUGAGGCACGAAAGCGUGGGGAGCAAACAGGAUUAGAUACCCUGGUAGUCCACGCCCUAAACGAUGCGAACUGGAUGUUGGGUGCAACUAGGCACUCAGUAUCGAAGCUAACGCGUUAAGUUCGCCGCCUGGGGAGUAUGGUCGCAAGACUGAAACUCAAAGGAAUUGACGG
rnacentral:rRNA from 1 species